AACGAACGCUGGCGGCAGGCUUAACGCAUGCAAGUCGAGCGCCCCGCAAGGGGAGCGGCAGACGGGUGAGUAACGCGUGGGAAUCUACCCAUCUCUACGGAAUAACGCAUGGAAACGUGUGCUAAUACCGUAUACGUCCUUCGGGAGAAAGAUUUAUCGGAGAUGGAUGAGCCCGCGUUGGAUUAGCUAGUUGGUGGGGUAAAGGCCUACCAAGGCGACGACCCAUAGCUGGUCUGAGAGGAUGAUCAGCCACACUGGGACUGAGACACGGCCCAGACUCCUACGGGAGGCAGCAGUGGGGAAUAUUGGACAAUGGGCGCAAGCCUGAUCCAGCCAUGCCGCGUGAGUGAUGAAGGCCCUAGGGUUGUAAAGCUCUUUCACCGGUGAAGAUAAUGACGGUAACCGGAGAAGAAGCCCCGGCUAACUUCGUGCCAGCCGCCGCGGUAACAC
rnacentral:rRNA from 1 species